rnacentral:misc_RNA from 1 species
GUCGACCCUGAGCAUAAUGGGCACAUAUGUUGUUCUAGAAGAUGAUCCAGUGAGUGAGAUGCUCUUUAUCAUCAGGGGACAACUAGAGAGCUCCACGACAAAUGGGGGAAGAUCUGGAUUCUUCAAUUCAAUCACCCUUGGACCUAAUGAUUUUUGUGGUGAAGAAUUGCUGACUUGGGCCUUACUGCCUAACUCAACGCAGUUGCCAGCUUCAACUCGAACAGUGAGAACACUUACUGAAGUUGAAGCAUUUGC